rnacentral:rRNA from 1 species
GUAGGUGGCAAGCGUUGUCCGGAAUUAUUGGGCGUAAAGCGCGCGCAGGCGGGGUCCUUUAAGUCUGAUGUGAAAGACCCACGGGCUCAACCGUGGAGGGGUCAUUGGAAACUGGGGGACUUGAGUACAGAAGAGGAAAGCGGAAUUCCACGUGUAGCGGUGAAAUGCGUAGAGAUGUGGAGGAACACCAGUGGCGAAGGCGGCUUUCUGGUCUGUAACUGACGCUGAGGCGCGAAAGCGUGGGGAGCAAACAGGAUUAGAUACCCUGGUAGUCCACGCCGUAAACGAUGAGUGCUAAGUGUUACGGGGGUUUCCGCCCCUUAGUGCUGCAGCUAACGCAUUAAGCACUCCGCCUGGGGAGUACGGCCGCAAAGGCUG